GGUGCAUGCGUCGGGGAUCGGUUCCUUGUGGUCAUAAACUAAACGACUCUCGGCAACGGAUAUCUCGGCUCUCGCAUCGAUGAAGAACGUAGCGAAAUGCGAUACUUGGUGUGAAUUGCAGAAUCCCGUGAACCAUCGAGUCUUUGAACGCAAGU
rnacentral:rRNA from 1 species